rnacentral:rRNA from 1 species
AUUGAACGCUGGCGGCAGGCCUAACACAUGCAAGUCGAACGAGUGGCGGACGGGUGUAUAAUGUCUGUGAAACUGCCUGCUUGAGGGGGUUAACUACUGGAAACGGUACCUAAUCCCGCAUACCAUCAGAUUUGCCCAGAUGGGAUUGGCUUGUUGGUGGGGUAACGGCUCACCAAGGCGACGAACGCUAGCUGGUCUGAGAGGAUGACCAGCCACACUGGAACUGAGACACGGUCCAGGCUCCUACGGGAGGCAGCAGUGGGGAAUAUGGGACAAUGGGCGAAAGCCUGAUGCAUCCAUGCCGGGCGUAUGAAGAAGGAUUUCGGGUUGUAAAGUACUUUCAGCGGUGAGGCGUUAGCCGGAGAAGAAGCACCGGCUAACUCCGUGCCAGCAGCCGCGGUAAUUC